UUAAUCUGAAAUUGAACGUCUAAUAGCCGAACUAACACUUACUAACCUAUAAUCUGUGUCACAUUUAGAAUAUCAUAUGAAUCUAAAAUAGUUCAUACAUUCCAGUUUAGUUACAACAUUUAACUACUAAAAUAAAAUUUAACUAAGCUAAAUUGAAUAAAUGCGGAUAACAUGAACAUCAGGCAAAUAGUAAUAUGAUUUACAUUUCAAAUUCUCAAAUCAGAUACACAUCACCAUCGUUUAGAACUUGUACCUGGAAGUUGCAAUAUAAGAAGAAAAGGAAAGGUCAGCAGCAAUAAAUGACAAGCAGCAGGGCUCAACAAUGACAACAGGAGCAAUUUCAGAACCAAAAUGACACCACAAAACCCUGAAAAUCAACCCAGCAAUUAUCAAAUUCAGCAAAUAACCAAAAAACCCACUUGAGAAAACCAAAUUCAACUUAAAAAGGAAUCCAAAACUUUAAAACUCCAAUUGUUGAACAAAACUAGGUAAAUCCAAGCUAUUUUGGAUCUUAGAUGAGCUGGAAUAAGGAAAACUUCAAUGGAAUAGUAUAUUUUUUUGGGUUUCUGCUAUUUUUUUUGUAUUUUUGAAGAGCUAAAUUAUAGAAUGAAAUUCCUAACUCUAAAAUUUCAGAUCUGGUUUGAAUUUCAAAUUCAAUAUUUUCAACUUCUAAACUUGUAGAGACUUUUUGGGGGGGAUUUCAG
rnacentral:lncRNA from 1 species